UACGGAGGGUGCAAGCGUUAUCCGGAUUCACUGGGUUUAAAGGGUGCGUAGGCGGGCAGGUAAGUCAGUGGUGAAAUCUCCGAGCUUAACUCGGAAACUGCCUUUGAUACUAUCUGUCUUGAAUAUGGUGGAGGUAAGCGGAAUAUGUCAUGUAGCGGUGAAAUGCUUAGAUAUGACAUAGAACACCUAUUGCGAAGGCAGCUUACUACGCCUAUAUUGACGCUGAGGCACGAAAGCGUGGGGACCAAACAGG
rnacentral:rRNA from 1 species